rnacentral:rRNA from 1 species
UACGGAGGGGGCUAGCGUUGUUCGGAAUUACUGGGCGUAAAGCGCACGUAGGCGGAUCAGUCAGUCAGGGGUGAAAUCCCGGGGCUCAACCCCGGAACUGCCUUUGAUACUGCUGGUCUUGAGGUCGAGAGAGGUGAGUGGAAUUCAGAGUGUAGAGGUGAAAUUCGUAGAUAUUCGGAGGAACACCAGUGGCGAAGGCGGCUCACUGGCUCGAUACUGACGCUGAGGUGCGAAAGCGUGGGGAGCAAACAGG